UUUAAGGUCUAACCUGCCCAAUGAGGAUUUAAAUGGCCGCAGUAUUUUGACUGUGCAAAGGUAGCAUAAUUAUUAGUUUUUUAAUUGAAAGCUUGUAUGAAGGGUUGGACGAGAUAAAAUCUGUCUUUAUUUAAAUUAAAGUAUAAUUUAACUUUUAAGUCAAAAGGCUUAAAUGUUUAUAAAAGACGAGAAGACCCUAUAGAUCUUUAUUUAAUUAAGAUUUUAAUAAUUUAGGAUUAUUUUAAUUUGGAGUUUUAAUUAAAUUUUAUUGGGGUAAUAUAAAGAUUAAAUAAAUUCUUUUUAUUUACAACAUUAAUUUAUGAAUAUAUGAUCCAUUAAUAUUGAUUAUAAGAUUAAGUUACCUUAGGGAUAACAGCGUAAUUUUUUUGGAGAGCUCAUAUCGAUAAGAAAGUUUGCGACCUCGAUGUUGGAUUAAAAAUUAGCUUGGGUGCAGAAGCUCAAGAUUUUGGUCUGUUCGACCAUUAAAUUUUUACAUGAUCUGAGUUCAGACCGGCGUAAGCCAGGUCGGUUUCUAUCUUUAUUUAGAUAAAAUAUUUUAGUACGAAAGGACCAAGUAUUUAAUAUAAUUAUAUUUAUUUUUUGAAGAAUAUU
rnacentral:rRNA from 1 species